rnacentral:lncRNA from 1 species
CAGUACUGUGAACUCUGUAUGUUUAUAUGGCAUGCCAUACCCUUAAGCUAACCUCGACUCCUAUUACGUUUACUAGGGCCAAGUAUCAUUAACUCAAUGUAUCAAUGUAAAUGCAUGUCAUUUGAAGCUAUUUGAUUUCUUUUUCCAAAGUAUAUAUAUCAUAUGCCAAGGUUUACAAUAUGGAAAACUCAUGGCAAAUAGUGCAAAACUUUA